rnacentral:rRNA from 1 species
GACGAACGCGGCGGCGUGCCUAAUACAUGCAAGUCGAACGCUUCUUUCCUCCCGAGUGCUUGCACUCAAUUGGAAAGAGGAGUGGCGGACGGGUGAGUAACACGUGGGUAACCUACCCAUCAGAGGGGGAUAACACUUGGAAACAGGUGCUAAUACCGCAUAACAGUUUAUGCCGCAUGGCAUAAGAGUGAAGGCGCUUUCGGGUGUCGCUGAUGGAUGGACCCGCGGUGCAUUAGCUAGUUGGUGAGGUAACGGCUCACCAAGGCCACGAUGCAUAGCCGACCUGAGAGGGUGAUCGGCCACACUGGGACUGAGACACGGCCCAGACUCCUACGGGAGGCAGCAGUAGGGAAUCUUCGGCAAUGGACGAAAGUCUGACCGAGCAAACGCCGCGUGAGUGAAGAAGGUUUUUCGGAUUCGUAAAACUUCUGUUGUUAG